rnacentral:rRNA from 1 species
GUUUACAGCCCAACUACUCUGAGCAUACCCAACCUUAUCUGAUCUAUUCUGAUCAUGGAAGCUAAGCAGGGUCAGGCCUGGUUAAUAUCUGAUGGGGGAUCGCCUGGGACCACCAGGUGCUGUGUGGA